rnacentral:rRNA from 1 species
UACGUAGGGUGCAAGCGUUGUCCGGAAUUAUUGGGCGUAAAGAGCUCGUAGGCGGUCUGUCGCGUCGGCUGUGAAAACCCGGGGCUCAACCCCGGGCCUGCAGUCGAUACGGGCAGACUAGAGUGUGGUAGGGGAGACUGGAAUUCCUGGUGUAGCGGUGGAAUGCGCAGAUAUCAAGAGGAACACCGGUGGCGAAGGCGGGUCUCUGGGCCGAUACUGACACUGAGGAGCGAAAGCGUGGGGAGCGAACAGG